rnacentral:rRNA from 1 species
CCUAUGGGGGGCUGCAGUAAGGAAUAUUGGACAAUGGGCGCAAGCCUGAUCCAGCCAUGCCGCGUGCAGGAUGACGGCCCUAUGGGUUGUAAACUGCUUUUAUACGGGAAAAAACCCCUCUACGUGUAGAGGGCUGAUGGUACCGUAAGAAUAAGGAUCGGCUAACUCCGUGCCAGCAGCCGCGGUAAUACGGAGGAUCCGAGCGUUAUCCGGAUUUAUUGGGUUUAAAGGGGAUUUGGGCGGAUGUGUUGAAAUCCUGCAGCUUAACUGUAGAACUGCCAUUGAUACUGCAAGUCUUGAGUACAUAUGAUGUGGGCGGAAUGUGUAGUGUAGCGGUGAAAUGCUUAGAUAUUACACAGAACACCAAUUGCGAAGGCAGCUCACAAAACUGUAACUGACGCUGAGGCACGAAAGCGUGGGGAGUGAACAGGAUUAGAUACCCUAGUAGUC